rnacentral:rRNA from 1 species
UACGUAGGUGGCAAGCGUUAUCCGGAUUUACUGGGCGUAAAGGGAACGCAGGCGGUCUUUUAAGUCUGAUGUGAAAGCCUUCGGCUUAACCGGAGUAGUGCAUUGGAAACUGGGAGACUUGAGUGCAGAAGAGGAGAGUGGAACUCCAUGUGUAGCGGUGAAAUGCGUAGAUAUAUGGAAGAACACCAGUGGCGAAAGCGGCUCUCUGGUCUGUAACUGACGCUGAGGGUCGAAAGCGUGGGUAGCAAACAGG